GGCAAAUAUGUAACCAUCUAGCCCAGAUUCUCAGGGAAAUAUUUGCUUCAGUGGGUUUGUCAAGAAUAGCCAGUUAUUAGCAAGGACAGUGCCGGGGAGAGGGGGUUUAGAAAGGGUUUGGGGGGUGCUAUGUGACUGAUUCUGGCCAGACCAUGGCUUUGAUUUUGCUGGGGUCCACUCUUACUACUGGAGGCUGUAUCGGCUCUUUUAAAAUUAUAAAUGAAAGCAAGAAGGACCUCUAUUCCUGGAUUUUCCCAACUGUGUGCUCUACCUGGAUUCCUGUGAUUGUGUCAUCCAAAAAAAGGAGUUAAGUGGAGUGGUUUGAACUGUAAGUCUGGUCUUCAGGGGUACUAGCCCAAAGAGACAGGCCCAACCAGCUCUGAAGUAAAAUUAUUUCCUGACUUGGAAAGAAGAAAAAUUGGUGAACAAUGAACUGAGAUCUAAGACAGUUUAGAAGAGUGCACAGUUGCCUUCAGUAAAUUCAAGGAACUGGUCCAAGGUGAACUACAUUCUGUAGAGAAUAAGAGAAUAUCACUACUUAACACAUAAAUGGUUUUUAAAAAAAGAUUAUUGGGAGUGAAAUGAGAUGGACAAAUGUGCUGGGGUUUUGAAAAUGGAAAGCAGCUUGGCUUUUUGGAAUUAUGUCAAGACAGAUGGAUCUUAUAGAACACAGAAUGGGAGUCUCCAGGAAGAGAGAAGAAGGGAGAUAUGGCGGUUUUCCAAUGGAAGCAGGAUGACAAUGACAACAGCUACUGCCAGCCAAAUUUGCAGUACAUUUCUUUAAGACCACAAGACAUGGUCUUCUUAAUGGGCAAGUUGGGAGGUACAUGUAUAUUGUGGAUUUUUAUCUUUCAUUCACUUUGGUAGCAGGAGUGCUGAGACUCACCUGGCUUC
rnacentral:lncRNA from 1 species